rnacentral:rRNA from 1 species
UACGUAGGGUGCAAGCGUUGUCCGGAAUUAUUGGGCGUAAAGAGCUCGUAGGCGGCCUGUCACGUCGGCUGUGAAAACCCGGGGCUCAACCCCGGGCCUGCAGUCGAUACGGGCAGGCUAGAGCCCGGCAGGGGAGACUGGAAUUCCUGGUGUAGCGGUGAAAUGCGCAGAUAUCAGGAGGAACACCGGUGGCGAAGGCGGGUCUCUGGGCCGGAACUGACGCUGAGGAGCGAAAGCGUGGGGAGCGAACAGG